GAGGGGGAUAGGGAGGCCACCCGAAAAGCCGGAGAGUCCCGCCGGCUUCCCCUUCAUAACCACGGG
rnacentral:sRNA from 1 species